rnacentral:rRNA from 1 species
AGAGUUUGAUCCUGGCUCAGAGUUAACGCUGGCGGCGUGCCUAACACAUGCAAGUCGAGCGAGCUUGUAGCAAUACAAGUUAGCGGCAAACGGGUGAGUAACACAUGGGAAACCUCCCUCAAAAUGGGGAAUAUCUCCGAGAAAUCGGAGCUAAUACCGCAUAAGACCACAGUCUGGCAUCAGACAGGGGUAAAAGCAGUAAUGCGUUUUGAGAUGGUCCUGUGUCCUAUCAGCUUGUUGGUGAGGUAACGGCUCACCAAGGCUAUGACGGGUAUCCGGCCUGAAAGGGUGAACGGACACACUGGAACUGAGACACGGUCCAGACUCCUACGGGAGGCAGCAGUGGGGAAUUUUGGACAAUGGGGGAAACCCUGAUCCAGCGACGCCGCGUGAAGGAUGAAGGCCUUCGGGUUGUAAACUUCUUUUGGAGGGGACGAAUAAAUUGACGGUACCCUCAGAAAAAGCCACGGCUAACUACGUGCCAGCAGCCGCGGUAAUACGUAGGUAGCGAGCGUUACUCGGAAUUACUAGGCGUAAAGCGUAUGUAGGCGGUUGUAUAAGUCUAUGGUGAAAUUUCCUGGCUCAACUGGGAAGGGACAUAGAUACUGUAUGGCUUGAGUGUUGGAGGGGGAGACGGAAUUCCUGGUGUAGCGGUGAAAUGCGUAGAUAUCAGGAGGAACACCGAUGGCGAAAGCAGUCUCCUGGCCAAAUACUGACGCUGAGGUACGAAAGCUAGGGUAGCAAACAGGAUUAGAUACCCUGGUAGUCCUAGCUGUAAACGAUGUUCACUAGAUGUGGGAGGUAUCGACCCCUUCCGCGUCGACGCUA